rnacentral:lncRNA from 1 species
UUCUUCUUUUUCAUCCAUGCUCCACGCCAUUCUUGAAGCUUCCAUGCCAUUUUCUCUUUAUCCACCAUGAAAUCAAGUUUUCUUCACUUUCCUUUCCAUGUUUUCUUUUCCUUCUCCAAACUUCUUGAGCAUUCAAUUUACAACCUUUAACCUCAAUUUCUAGCACACCAAAACCCUAGGAGGAGAAGAAAGAAAAAGCUUGGUUUUGGUGAUUCAAGCAAGGAACGGUAAGAAUUCUUGUUUUUGGCUUAAGUAAUCUUUGAAAAUGAGUUAGUGAUUUAGAGAAAUGUCUUGUGGCAGCAAAGAUUGGCUUGAUUGGAGAACAAUUGGUAACAUGUACACCAAUAAACCCAUGCGUACAUGAAAGACUCAAAGUGGAAAAGAAAAAUGAUAAGCUUAACACUAUGUUUUAAAGCCUACGGUUAGUUGAAUAUUGUGAAGAAUUAUGGUUGUUGAAAGGAUUAAUUUGCCUAAGCUAGUUGAAAAUUGUUAAGAUUGUAUGGCAUGUUGUUUGAAAGAAAUAAAAAAAUAAUAUUGUGGAUGGAGGA